rnacentral:miRNA from 1 species
UGAGGAGCUCUGCAAGCAUGCA